GAUGAACGCUGGCGGCGUGCCUAAUACAUGCAAGUCGAGCGAACAGAUAAGGAGCUUGCUCCUUUGACGUUAGCGGCGGACGGGUGAGUAACACGUGGGUAACCUACCUAUAAGACUGGGAUAACUUCGGGAAACCGGAGCUAAUACCGGAUAAUAUUUCGAACCGCAUGGUUCGAUAGUGAAAGAUGGUUUUGCUAUCACUUAUAGAUGGACCCGCGCCGUAUUAGCUAGUUGGUAAGGUAACGGCUUACCAAGGCGACGAUACGUAGCCGACCUGAGAGGGUGAUCGGCCACACUGGAACUGAGACACGGUCCAGACUCCUACGGGAGGCAGCAGUAGGGAAUCUGCCGCAAUGGGCGAAAGCCUGACGGAGCAACGCCGCGUGAGUGAUGAAGGUCUUCGGAUCGUAAAACUCUGUUAUUAGGGAAGAACAUACGUGUAAGUAACUGUGCACGUCUUGACGGUACCUAAUCAGAAGGCCACGGCUAACUACGUG
rnacentral:rRNA from 1 species